GACGAACGCUGGCGGCGUGCUUAACACAUGCAAGUCGAACGGAAAGGCCCUGCUUUUGUGGGGUGCUCGAGUGGCGAACGGGUGAGUAACACGUGAGUAACCUGCCCUUGACUUUGGGAUAACUUCAGGAAACUGGGGCUAAUACCGGAUAGGAGCUCCUGCUGCAUGGUGGGGGUUGGAAAGUUUCGGCGGUUGGGGAUGGACUCGGGGCUUAUCAGCUGGUUGGUGGGGUAGUGGCUUACCAAGGCUUAGACGGGCAGCCGGCCUGAGAGGGUGACCGGCCACAUGGGGACUGAGAGACGGCCCAGACUCCUACGGGAGGCAGCAGUGGGGAAUAUUGCACAAUGGGCGGAAGCCUGAUGCAGCAACGCCGCGUGCGGGAUGACGUCCUUCGGGUUGUAAACCGCUUUCGCCUGUGACGAAGCGUGAGUGACGGUAAUGGGUAAAGAAGCACCGGCUAACUACGUG
rnacentral:rRNA from 1 species